GCUUAAAACAGUGUCUUGAUUGGUUCGGGGCUGGCAACUUUAGUUUGCUCACGAGCUGAGCUGACAGCAUCGGUGUAUAAGAGGAGGAGUUUGGGGGAAAAUGACGUAUAAAAUGUUUCCUACAGGCCAGUCUCCUCCAGAGCGGCACCCUAACCGACAACCUGCCCUGUAUUACACUGAAUGCAUCACUGCUGCCAGCAAGAUGGGAGAAGUCUCAUGCCUGAUAGCAACUGUGUAAAGAAUCUCCUCCCCAGAGUGUCUGCUUAGCUGGACGUGGCUACUAUUUCAGACAUCAGCGAGGUCAAAUCCCAAGUCGCUUUUGUCAGGAGCGUGUGUGUGCUGGUGAGCCUCUUGUGAUAAAUGCAGUAAGCCGCGUAAACAAUGAAAAUGUAAAGAGCACUGAGGAAAGGCACACCGACCAAGCUGAUGCUGUUUGCUUGAGGGUUCUUUGUAGCAAAUUUGCGUCUCUGUCUUUGCUGCUCUCCCCUCAAGGAUAAGUUAGAAACCAAUAUUAUGAUAACUCAGAUUAAUUCUGUAGAAGCAUGCGUUAAGUGUGGGGCACUUAAUCAUUCAAACCUUUGGCAAAGUUUUGAUCACAAUGUUGUGCCUUAUUUAUGAACGCUG